GAGUGCAGUCCCUCUGCUUUGAUUGCUGUGCCUCUUUGGUAGGGAUUUUGGAGGGGAAUCCCAGAGCGAUUUGGUUUGAAGGGGACCUUCAAAGGCCACCCCGUCUUCCGUGGGCAGGGACACCUUCCACUGUCCCCGGUUGCUCCAAGUCUCAUCCAGCCUGGCCUGGAACACUUCCAGGGAUGGGGCAGCCUCAGCUUCCCUGUGCAGUGUGCUCUUAAUAUCUCUCCACUGGCAUCAUGAAAAAUUUUGUUAGUAUGUCCCUUUCAGUUGAAAACCAUUAUCCUUUGUCCUAUCAGUAGAAACUUUGGUAGAAAGUCUCUUCAUUUUUCUCAUAAAUCUCUUUAUUUACUGGAAAGCUGCAGUAAAACUUCCCUGAAUCUUCUUGUGGGGUGGGGUAAGUCAGAGGGACACGUUUCUCUCCUCCUGGCUGUUGGCAUUUGCUCCCUGGGCACUGGCUCUUUUUCCCACUCCACUCUGGUCCUUGCCGUGUCUGCUGGGAAGAGUGGAGAGGAAGGGGCAAAGGUGAGCCUGGGGUCCCUGAGUUGUGGGGUUGGGCUGUGCUGAGAGGGGCAGGUGGGUCCCUGUUGGUGAGCCUGAGCCUUGUCUUGGGGGUUCAGGAGCCCGGGGGACCAAGCCUGGGGGGUGUUUGCAGCUCUGCCAGGGCUGGAGCUGACACGGCGCUGGGGGAGAGCCUGGAGCUGGGCUGGGCCGUGGGACAGGUGCAGUGGAGCUGGGGGAGGGUUUGGGACUCCCUGGGGAGAAAGGAGGGAUGGAUGGGCUGGAUGGAGCCACAGGCAUGUGCUCCUGGGAACACACUUGUCCAGGACGCUGGGAUCCGGGUCAAACUCCAGUUCCCCUCAUGUCCAGGGAUGCAGGGUCUGAGGGACUGGAUUUCCCUGGGGGUUUGCAGGAGACCAGGAGUGAAAGGAAAUGUGGUGCCAGAGCAGGCUGUGUUUGCCUCUGAGGACAGAGAGCCUGUGGGCUGAGUUUGGCAGGGCUGGGACAAGGAGGACUCGUGCGGGCACCUCCAGAGACAGCGGGAACGGGAGCGUGCUGCAGAGAAGGAAAGUUCCAGGUGAAUUGCCACGAGAGGAAAUACUUCCGAGAGGCUUCCCUCCGGAUAAGCCCUGAAUAUGCCGGGAGGUUUCAGCCGGGAGAAAGGAGCUGUGGAAGAAAAGCAGCCUAAAAAUAGCCAGCGGGGAUCAUCAGGUUUGCCAGCCAAGAAAAACAAGGAGGGAGAUGAGGGAAUGGGGUUCCAAUUCCUGAUGAUUUGGAAGUGGGCUGGGACAGGGGAAUUGGCUCCCCCGAGGCCGAGGAUCAGAGCGGGCUCUGCACAGGGGACGACUUCCACUUCCGAACGGGGAAGG